AUACUAUAAUUUACAGUAAAACACUUUAAAGAUAGCAUAUUAUACCAUUAAUGAAGUUGUGCCCUUGUUGUACACACAAUUAGUACAUACACACAAUUCACCCGGAAGCUUAGUGAUAACUUGUAUAUGAAAUGCCAUCCUUGCUUUUUAGCAUCAGUCUAAUAAUUGCAGGGAUACUUAAAAAACUUUUAGACAGCAGAAAAAUUUCACAAUUAUUUUCAUUUCAAUUCCAAUUACCAUGGCCUCA
rnacentral:lncRNA from 10 species